rnacentral:tRNA from 1 species
GAAUAUGAAGCGAUUUAUUGCACCUAGUUUCGACCUAGCUCUAGACAACCUUGUCCUUAUUCU